GAUGAACGCUGGCGGCGUGCCUAAUACAUGCAAGUCGAGCGAACGGACGAGAAGCUUGCUUCUCUGAUGUUAGCGGCGGACGGGUGAGUAACACGUGGAUAACCUACCUAUAAGACUGGGAUAACUUCGGGAAACCGUAGCUAAUACCGGAUAAUAUUUUGAACCGCAUGGUUCAAAAGUGAAAGACGGUCUUGCUGUCACUUAUAGAUGGAUCCGCGCUGCAUUAGCUAGUUGGUAAGGUAACGGCUUACCAAGGCAACGAUGCAUAGCCGACCUGAGAGGGUGAUCGGCCACACUGGAACUGAGACACGGUCCAGACUCCUACGGGAGGCAGCAGUAGGGAAUCUUCCGCAAUGGGCGAAAGCCUGACGGAGCAACGCGGCGUGAGUGAUGAAGGUCUUCGGAUCGUAAAACUCUGUUAUUAGGGAAAAACAUAUGUGUAAGUAACUGUGCACAUCUUGACGGUACCUAAUCAGAAAGCCACGGCUAACUACGUG
rnacentral:rRNA from 1 species